rnacentral:rRNA from 1 species
AGAUUGAACGCUGGCGGCAUGCCUUACACAUGCAAGUCGAACGGCAGCACGGGAGCAAUCCUGGUGGCGAGUGGCGAACGGGUGAGUAAUACAUCGGAACGUGCCCAAUCGUGGGGGAUAACGCAGCGAAAGCUGUGCUAAUACCGCAUAAGAUCUACGGAUGAAAGCAGGGGAUCGACAAGACCUUGCGCGAAGUGGAGCGGCCGAUGGCAGAUUAGGUAGUUGGUGAGGUAAAGGCUC